UGUCUCUAAGUCUCUUCACCAAGGUUGUAUCUUGUGAAGAUGAUAUGGAUGAUUAAAGAAGAAGAGAUUGCUAGAUAUUUUCUUCCUUUAAUGGCCGGCCUCUUAGAAGAAAUAGAGAGAAAAUGUCUCACCCAAUUUCAACCUACCAAACCCUAAAGCUAUAAAGUUGAAUUUAUACUUCAUUUCUUUGGUGAGUGGCAAGCUUGCAAUUAAGCAAACUUUGCCCAUCCAACCCUAAUGGCCGGCCUCCUUGGUGUUAUUGGGCUAUUUGCCC
rnacentral:lncRNA from 1 species